CAUCCUCUUCAUUCCAAUUGGACGCCAUUGGAGAAAAUAGAAUAAUACACCUGAGGGAUAAAGCGGUAAAAGUUAGUAAGGCCGGAAAAGAAAAAGUUUGUGACUUCAGGCGAAAAGGCGUCGCGACGCCAUGGAAAAUUACAGAACUCAAAUAAACCUUUUUCGUCCUUAUUUUUCCUGCUACAUUCAUCACAUUUGACAUUUCCGUUUCGGUCCGAACAACAAAAUAAGGACACCACUGGAAUAGCCAAUGUCGACUAGACCACACGAUAAAUAUUUCCUAUUCAUUUUAGUGCGUUAAAGUAAUUGACAAGUGGAGUAAAUUCAAUAAUAAGAUUUAAAAUUCUAACAUACCUUUUGUAUUUAAAUAACUGGAAGCGAAUGUUGUUGUUAAAGAACGUCUGCUCACGGUGCUUUCGGCUGAAGAGUGCUGGCUGGUAAACCAGCCGUGUCUAUAUUAUAAGUUGCCUAUAGCCAAAGUGACUUGGGCACUGGGAUAUUCCUCGUUGCUAGCAGGUCUGCUGUGACAGGAUACUAGCGUAUGCCCUUCACGUGUUACCUGCACAAAAACCACACUGGAAAAGGAAAAAGCCGGGGCGUCUAUGCGGAUCAGCUCCAGCCUACACGCAAUGAAAUUUUUAGCCACAGGCGAAAUUCAGUCAACCCGAAAGAAAACAUUGUGCCAUACGCAUGGAGAGCUUUAAAAAAGAACGUGACGUCAGCGAUGCUGCAUUUUUGAUUAGAGCAUUCGUCGUCACUUUCUUUUCCUUCAGGCAGAAGAAAAAAGCAGGCGAGUUGUAAUAACGUUAACGUGGAUGUCAUAUGCAAAACGAUAAUUGCAAGAUGGUCACGCAAAUUCGAAGGAGGUUAACUCAUACCCGCGAAAAUCACCUAGUGAUGACGUCAAUGUUGAUGGACCUUGCUGCAUGAAGAGAACAGACAGUGAAGCCAUUAGAGCAUGGUUAUAGAAAUCGUUUAAGGACAAAUUGUGGAGAAAGUUUUUGUGUUUACCCAGGGAAAAAAUAUUCCUUUGGUGGAAAAUAUUAAACUCUGUAGUGCACAUCUAAACAAGUCCAAGUGUUCAGACUGGAAAAGUCCUGAUUGUGGGAACUGUUCACAAACAUCUUAUGAAUUGAUUCCACCUGAAAGUUAAAAGAAAAAGAUUACUUGCUUAUUUAUUCUCAAGAAUAGCAAUAACUGCUGAGAAACAAGCAGUGUAAAGCAAGGUGCCUGACUGACCGUAGAACUAACCUAAAUGAUGUGAGUCGUUUACAUUUUAGUAAAACGUAUGUGAGGAUUUGCCUUCAGAAACAAGAAUUCCAGAAGAGAAUUUAACUACAUAGUAAUCUUUCUUUCACCACAUUCUUCUGUACAUUUGAUAUCAAGCGUCCAAAUGGCCGCCAUGAGACAAAUACACGAACACGUGACUAUU